UUUUGUUGUUGUUUUUUUUUUUUUUUAAUAAUUUUAAAAAGCUUACAUAAUGUCUGAUCUUAAGAGUGACAUUGAAAGGUUUUAGAAUGGGAAGCAUGCCUCUUGCCUUCACCUUCCGUUUCACUGCAGUUCCCAGAGGGAAUCACUUAACCACUUUUAACUUCUAAUGGUUAACCUCCAUGUUUAAAUAAUAUGCUUAUACAGUUACAAUUUAUUUUAGUGUACUUUUAAAUUUUUUUUCAGGUUGCAAAAGUAACAACAUCCAUAGUGGAGCAUUUAGCAAAUAGAGUAAAUUACAUAGGAGAAAAUGAAACGUAUUCUACCAAGAGAUCCUGUCAACAUUUUUGGUAUUUAAAUGAAGACCUGUAGAAAAACAUUUGUCUUCCAACUUCAGCAAUUACCCUGGAAGUGAAAUUACAUUUUUAGAUUGGAAUCUUGAAUAAUACAAGGAACAAAGUUUCAGGAGAGGAUGACUUGAAGCUGAACCCUUGAACUGAACCCGAGGUGCCUUCUGAACGUCAGGGGAGAACGCAGGCCUGCAGCGUGGGGCAGGACGGGAAGUCCCUGUGCACCAGGGCUCGGCCAUGCACACCCCUGCCAAUCCCCGCAGAGGCCAGGUGAGCGGGGCCCUGGGAGACACAGGCUGCUGGCCGGGGACUGGCCAGAGCUGGGGGGACAGUCGGUCCCUUGGGUGCUUUCUCCUCAGCCCUUCUCUACAAAUGAACACUUCCUAUGUCUGCUUCUUGAGGACGUGAGGUAUGCAAAACCAAACCAUUUCAUCAUUUUGUCUCAGGUUUGUUUUUUUGCCUGUAUUAGAGAUAAAAAUUAGGAAAUGGUCAUUCCUCCUCAAGUUUAGGGUUUUUAAGAUAACAGUCGGGGACACCUGGGUGGCUCAGCGGUUGAGCGUCUGCCUUUGGCCCAGGCCGUGAUCCUGGAGUCCCGAGAUCGAGUCCCACAUCGGGCUCCCUGCAUGCAGCCUACUUCUCCCUCUGCCUGUGUCUCUGCCUCCCUCUCUCUGUCUCUCAUUGAUGGAUAAAUAAAAUCUUAAAAAAAAAAAAGAUAACAAUAAUUGGUGCAUAUUACCUGAAUAAAAGAAACCUCAGACUGAUUUUUAAAAAAUUGUUAUAUGAAUUAUAUUUUGCUUUGUAAAGGGAAAAAAGUAAAGUGAGUCCCAAGAAAGGUAUUAAAGUGGAAACCUGCAUAUUUACACCUCAAUUUAAUAUUAAAAAGACAAGUAAUCAACUGCUCCUCCCUGCAGCUUCAGGAUGUCAAGACUCUUUUUUGUUUCCACUGUUACGGUCCUCAAUUCACCCAGGACAGUUAGGGGUGGGAGAGAGUGCCGAACUCGUAGUGGGCUCCCCCAGCGAACCUGGUGCGUUUCUCACCUACCUCUCCUGCUUUCCCGUUUUGGAGCAUGAAUGAUUUCAGCUGUACUCUAGGCCAAUUGAGUCCCUUUGGAUACUUUUUGGGUGUUUGUGUAUGUGUUACUGUGAUAUAAGAAAUACGUAUCUGGCCUUCCUCCCUGUUCCCUGGCACAGAGCUCCUGAGACCUUUGUAAUUUUCCGAGUGACAGAGGUGAGAGCAGCAUCACUUGUCAUCCAAAAGGAGCCCCCUUCAGGGGCUGACCUGAGUUUAUGCUAAUAAGCUGAUGGGUCCUUGGGGCUCCCUACAUAGCUUCAGCCUGGGGGCUGGUGACCAGAAGGACUUUGCACCACCCACAUCCCACCGGAAGGGAAGGGAGAAGAGCUGGAGAUUGAGUUAAUCGCCAGCAGACAAUGAUUUAAUAAAUCACAGCAAUAAUAGUAUGUAAUGAUCCCAUUCCAUAGGCACCUCCGUGAAAACCCUACAAGAGCCUCCCGGUUGGUGACUGCAUCAAGGUGCCAGGAGGGCGUCCUGCUCGUCCAGAGUGUGGAAGCUCUGCGUCCCUCUCCCCACCAACCUGGCCCAGUGCCCCUCUUCCAUUUGGCUCUCCUUGAGUUGUUUCCUUUAUAAUAACCUGGUAACAUCAGCAAGUGCUUUCCUCAGUUGGGCAGGCCCGUUCUAGCAAAUAAGGAACCUAAAGAGGAGGUUGUGGGCAGUCAGGAGUACAGGAGGCUGGGACUUGCGACUGGUGUUUGGAGUGGGGGCAGUCCUGUGGGGCGGAGCUCCUUAAGUUUUGGGAUCCGACACGGACUCCAGACAGUGUAAUCCUAAGACCCUAACGGAUGUCUGGAGAACUGUGUGGUGUGAGGAGAAAAGCUGCACAUCUGGCGUGAGAGUGCAGUGAGUAAAAACAGCUCAGACUCUGCAGCUCACUGUAGAGGGAUUCGAGGAGCUGCUUUAUGAAAAAUCGUCUCGGAGUCAACAGGCCUUUGGGUGGAACAUGCCUUUCUGUUCAUGCAAGCAGUUCGGUCUGCAAAACACUUCAGCGGUGAUUCAUUCAUUCCAGAGACAUCACUG